rnacentral:rRNA from 1 species
UUCGAAGGGGGCUAGCGUUGUUCGGAAUUACUGGGCGUAAAGCGCACGCAAGCGGCUCGAUAAAUUAGAAGUGAAAGCCCCGGGCUUAACCUGGGAAUUGCUUUUAAGACUGUCGGGCUAGAAUCCAGAAGAGGGUAGUGGAAUUCCGAGUGUAGAGGUGAAAUUCGUAGAUAUUCGGAAGAACACCAGUGGCGAAGGCGACUACCUGGUCUGGCAUUGACGCUCAUGUGCGAAAGCGUGGGGAGCAAACAGG